rnacentral:tRNA from 1 species
UAUGCUUAGGUGUUUAGGAUGCACAGUGACUUUUGAUUUCUCAGGGUAUAGUUUAAAUCUAUAAGGCAUAA